UACGGGGGGGGCAAGCGUUGUUCGGAAUUACUGGGCGUAAAGCGCGCGUAGGCGGCUUUUCAAGUCGGGCGUGAAAGCCCCGGGCUUAACCCGGGAAUGGCGCUCGAUACUGUUGUGCUAGAGUGCGGAAGGGGCUACUGGAAUUCUCGGUGUAGCGGUGAAAUGCGUAGAUAUCGAGAGGAACACCUGCGGCGAAGGCGGGUAGCUGGGCCGACACUGACGCUGAGGCGCGAAAGCAAGGGGAGCGAACGGG
rnacentral:rRNA from 1 species